UACGUAGGUGGCAAGCGUUGUCCGGAUUUACUGGGCGUAAAGAGCGCGCAGGCGGUCGUUCAAGUCGCGUUGUGAAAGCCCCCGGCUCAACUGGGGAGGGUCACGCGAUACUGAUCGACUCGAAGGCAGGAGAGGGUAGUGGAAUUCCCGGUGUAGUGGUGAAAUGCGUAGAUAUCGGGAGGAACACCAGUGGCGAAGGCGACUACCUGGCCUGUUCUUGACGCUGAGGCGCGAAAGCUAGGGGAGCAAACGGGG
rnacentral:rRNA from 1 species